CAGCGUGGUUUAGAUAUGCAAGUCGAACGGUUUUUCAGGUGUAGCAAUACAUUUGAAAAGCAGUGGCGAACGGGUGCGUAACACGUGAACAAUCUACCUUUUAGCGUGGAAUAGCUCGGCGAAAGCCGGAUUAAUACCGCAUGUGGUUGGUUCUCUCCUGAGAGCCAUACUAAAGUCAGGGACCGCAAGGCCUGACGCUAUUAGAGGAGUUCGCGGCCUAUCAGCUAGUUGGCGAGGUAACGGCUCACCAAGGCUAAGACGGGUAGCUGAUCUGAGAGGAUGAUCAGCCACACUGGAACUGAGACACGGUCCAGACACCUACGGGUGCCAGC
rnacentral:rRNA from 1 species